rnacentral:rRNA from 1 species
UAUCUCUGUAGAGUCUGCAUAUCAAUAAGCGGAGGAAAAGAAACUAACAAGGAUUCCCUUAGUAACGGCGAGUGAAGCGGGAAGAGCUCAAAUUUGAAAUCUUCAAGGUUCUACCUUGACGAAUUGUAGUUUAAAGAAGUGUUUUCUGUUAGAUGAGUAGCAAAAGUUCCUUGGAAUGGGACAUCAUAGAGGGUGAGAAUCCCGUAUUUGGUUAUUCAUUCUAGCUUUGUGAUACACUUUCAAAGAGUCGGAUUGUUUGGGAAUGCAGUCCAAAAUGGGUGGUAAAUUUCAUCUAAAGCUAAAUAUUGGCGAGAGACCGAUAGCGAACAAGUACCGUGAGGGAAAGAUGAAAAGAACUUUGAAAAGAGAGUUAAACAGUACGUGAAAUUGUCAAAAGGGAAGCGUUUGACACCAGUGUUGUUUUUCCGAAAAUCAAUUACGAAUGGCUUGAUUUUGUGUUGUAUUGACCUUAUCAGCUUUCUGCACUUUUUUCGAGUCUUUCUUAAUGCACUUUUCGGUUAACAAGUCAACAUCAAUUUCUUUUGUUGUAAAAGAGUAUUCGGAAGGUGGCUUUCUUUUCGGAGAAAGUGUUUAUAGCCCUAUACUUCUACAAUCGGAGAGAUUGAGGUCUGCAGCGUAGAUCCUUCGGGGUUAGAUACACUUGUGCUAAGUUGUAGCUUUUCAUAGACAACUUGUUGGCUAUGUUUAGUCAUGCGGCUUACUCGCUUGUGCUAUUUUACCUACGCUUAGGAUGUUGACUGAUAUGUAGUCGUA